ACCUGCGGAGGGAUCAUUGAAUUAUAAAACCACAAUGCGAACCUCAACGUUCCGUGCCUUGGCUUGCCAGUGGGGCAUUCGGUAUAAAACCCGUUUGUACUCACAGCUGGAACGUGGGCAUUGCUGCCUACUCAGUGGCGCCUUGGCAUGACUUUACACCAGUGCUAACCACUGUUAAAACCAAACUCUGAAAUAUUGAUUGCUAGUAAUUGGCGAUCUUAACCAAAGACAACUCUCAACAACGGAUAUCUUGGCUCUCGCAACGAUGAAGAACGCAGCGAAAUGCGAUACGUAGUGUGAAUUGCAGAAUUCCGUGAACCAUCGAAUCUUUGAACGCAUAUUGCGCUCGAGCCCUCGGGCAAGAGCAUGUCUGCCUCAGCGUCGGUUUACACCCUCACCCCUCCCAACCUGUUGGGUAUGUUUGCUCUAUUCGCAAGCUAGAGGUGGAUCUGGCUUCCCCAAUCAGCCAUCAGGUAGAUUGGGUUUGCUGAAGUAUAGAGGCUUAAGCAUGGACCCGAUAUGGGCUUCAACUGGAUAGGUAGCACCGGCUUUUGCCGACUACACGAAGUUGUUGCUUGUGGAUCUUGCUAGAAGCCAAGCAGGAAUGUGCCUUUGGCAUAUCUGAACUUUCGACCUGAGCUCAGGCAAGAUUACCCGCUGAACUUAAGCAUAUG
rnacentral:rRNA from 1 species